rnacentral:rRNA from 1 species
UACGGAGGGUGCAAGCGUUAUCCGGAUUCACUGGGUUUAAAGGGUGCGUAGGCGGGCAGGUAAGUCAGUGGUGAAAUCUCCGAGCUUAACUCGGAAACUGCCGUUGAUACUAUUUGUCUUGAAUGUUGUGGAGGUUAGCGGAAUAUGUCAUGUAGCGGUGAAAUGCAUAGAUAUGACAUAGAACACCAAUUGCGAAGGCAGCUGGCUACACAAAUAUUGACGCUGAGGCACGAAAGCGUGGGGAUCAAACAGG